UACGUAGGGGGCAAGCGUUGUCCGGAAUUAUUGGGCGUAAAGCGCGUGUAGGCGGCUCGGUAAGUCCGCUCUGAAAGUCCGGGGCUCAACCCCGGGAGGCGGGUGGAUACUGUCGAGCUAGAGUCCGGAAGAGGCGAGUGGAAUUCCUGGUGUAGCGGUGAAAUGCGCAGAUAUCAGGAGGAACACCAAUGGCGAAGGCAGCUCGCUGGGACGGUACUGACGCUGAGACGCGAAAGCGUGGGGAGCAAACAGG
rnacentral:rRNA from 1 species